rnacentral:rRNA from 1 species
AGAGUUUGAUCCUGGCUCAGAUUGAACGCUGGCGGCAGGCCUAACACAUGCAAGUCGAACGGUAGCACAGAGGAGCUUGCUCCUUGGGUGACGAGUGGCGGACGGGUGAGUAAUGUCUGGGAAACUGCCCGAUGGAGGGGGAUAACUACUGGAAACGGUAGCUAAUACCGCAUAACGUCGCAAGACCAAAGAGGGGGACCUUCGGGCCUCUUGCCAUCGGAUGUGCCCAGAUGGGAUUAGCUAGUAGGUGGGGUAACGGCUCACCUAGGCGACGAUCCCUAGCUGGUCUGAGAGGAUGACCAGCCACACUGGAACUGAGACACGGUCCAGACUCCUACGGGAGGCAGCAGUGGGGAAUAUUGCACAAUGGGCGCAAGCCUGAUGCAGCCAUGCCGCGUGUAUGAAGAAGGCCUUCGGGUUGUAAAGUACUUUCAGCGAGGAGGAAGGGGAUGUGGUUAAUAACCGCAUUCAUUGACGUUACUCGCAGAAGAAGCACCGGCUAACUCCGUGCCAGCAGCCGCGGUAAUAC